UGUUUGAUUUUUUGUUGUUGUUGUUGCACUGAUUGUAUUUUAUUUACCGAUUCUUCCGAUCUUCAUACCGGAACGAGCCAGAGCUCGGAGAGCAGACUGAGCUCCAGGGCCAGGAGUCUUGGUCCUG